GCAGAUCGGGACAGCGUACACUCUGCUGCACCAGAGACACAGGGCGGGGCAACCCCAUGUAUGGCCUGAGGCCAGCUGCUCAGAGCUUCGUGCUCCCCCGACUACGGCCUCCGAUCAGACGUGGCGACCCACUGAAUUUAAGUAUAUUACUAAGCGUGGAAAAGAAACUAACCAGGAUUCCCUCAGUAACGGCCAGUGAAGAGGGAAGAGCCCAGCGCCAAAUCCCUGUUCAGCGGCUGGCGUGGGAAAUGGCAUAAGAAGACCAACUCCCCGGCAUCACUAAUGGGGCUCAAAUCCUUCUGAUCGAAACUCAGCCCGCGGACCAGUAGCGGCCUCUGGCACGCCAGGAUCAGAUCUUCUUGGAGUCAGGUUGCUUGGGAAUGCAUCCCAAAGCAUGUGGUAAACUCCAUCUAAGGCUAAAUACGGGCGCAACAUGGAUGGCUAACCAGUACCAUAAGGGAAAGUUGAAAAGAACUUUGAAGAGGGAGUUCAAGAGGGCGUGAAACCAUUGAGAGGUAAACUGGCGGGGUCCGUGCAGUCUGCUCACAGGAUUCAACACAGCAGGCAGUUUGAUCACCUGGAACGGCGGAUGCCCUAGCGAGACUGCGGCCCGGGCAGACCCGGCCCCCGCAGGGUUCAAUUCCUCUGUGGCAGUGCACCGCAAAUGGUUGGGAAGGCCCAGGGGGCAAGUGGCGGGAGACAGGGCUCCCAAUGCGACGGUGGCAGAUGGACUCCAACCAUGUUGUGCUGCUGGGUGGGAGGGCCACAAAGCACCAGCGGUCUGAGAUUAUGUUGGGUAACCACCUGACGUGUCUUGAAACACGGGCCAAGGAGUCCUAACAAGUGCACAAGUCAGAGGGCCAAAUGAAACCCUUUGGUGCAAAAAAGGUGAGGGCCGGCACCUGCCGAUUGCGGUGGGAGCCCGUUGCGGUGGGUGCACCACCGACACGUCUCGCCCGCUCUCUCAGGGAGAUGGAACAUGAGCGUGUGUAAUAGGACCCGAAAGAUGGUGAACUAGGCUUGGUGGAGGUCCGUAGCAGUCCUGAUGUGUUAAUCGUCACACGACCUGGGUAUAGGGGCGAAAGACUAAUCAAAUCAUCUAGUAGCUGGUUCCAUCCAGAGUUUCCCUCAGGAUAGCUGACACGCGGAAACCUCAGUUCUAUCUGGUAAAGCGAAUGAUUAGAAGUCUUGGGCCAAAAUGAUCUCAACCUAUUCUCAAACUUUAAAUGGGUAAGAAGCCUGGCUUGCUGGCAUGGAGCUGGGCAUUGAAUGCAAGGGGCCAGUUGACAACUUUUGUUAAGCAGAACUGGCACUGCGGGAUGAACCAAAUGGCGGGUUAAGGCGCCCAAUGCAGACGCUCAUAAAACCCAGAAAAGGUGUUGGUUGAUAUAGACAGCAGGACAGUGGCCAUGGAAGUCGGAAUCCGCUAAGGAGCCCCAUGGAGAAUUCUCUUUUCUUUGUGAAGGGCAGGGCACCUUGGAAUGGGUUCACCCUGAGAGAGGGCCCUGAGCCCUGGAAAGCGUUGCGGUUUCGCAGUGUGUGGUGUGCUCUCGCUGGUUCUUGAAAAUUCAGGGAGGUGGUGUAAAUCUCGCGCUGGGCCGUACCCAUAUCCGCAGCAGGUUUCCAAGGUGAACAGCAUCUGGCAUGUUUUGGAACAAUGUAGGCAAGGGAAGUCGGCAAGUCAGAUCUGUAACUUCGGGAGAAGGAUUGCCUCUAAGGGCUGGGUCGGUCGGGCUGGGGGGCGAAGCGGGGCUGGGCGCGCACGGCAGCUGGACGAGGCGUCUCACCCUCUCUCUGUGAGCGGUGCCAACUCUGGAUAUGAGCCCGGCCCUGCCUGUGGAUCGCUCCAGCUGCGGUGGACGCCUCUCUCUGUUCCCCUCCCAGGGUUCAGGCCUGAGGUUUUGCAUCGGCCAACGCCUAGCAGCUGACUUAGAACUAGUGCGGACCAGGGGAAUCUGAAUGUUUCAUUAAAACAGCAUCGCAAAGGCCUGCGGUGGGUGUCAACGCGAUGUGAUUUCUGCCCAGUGCUCUGAAUGUCAAAGUAAAGAAAUUCAAUGAAGCGCGGGUAAAUGGCGGGAGUAACUAUGACUCUCUUAAGGUAGCCAAAUCCCUUGUCAUCUAAUUAGUGAUGCGCAUGAAUGGAUGAAUGCGAUUCCAACUGACCUUACCUACUAUCUAGCGAAACCACAGCCAAGGGAACAGGCUUGACAGAAGCAGCGGGGAAAUAAGAUCCAGUUGAGCUGCUUGCCUCUAGUCUGGCACUGUGAAGAGACAUGCAAGGUGUGGGAUAAGUGGGAGGCCCUCGGCUGCCGGUAUACACAACUACUCUUAUUGUUUUUUCACUUACCCGGUGAGGUGGGGGCGAGCCCCGUGGGUCUCUCACUUCUGGCUCCAAGUGCCCAGCACCCGUGACCCGCUUCAGGGACAGCGGCAGUUGGGGCGUUUGACUAGGGUGGUACACCUGUCAAACAAUAACGCAGGUGUCCUAAGUCUAGCCCACGGAGGACAGAAAGCUCCCGCGGAGCAGAAGGGCAAAAGCUUGCUUGCUCUCCAUUUUUCAGUAUGAAUAGAGACUGUGAAAGCGAGGCCUCACGAUCCUUCUGACUUUUUGGGUUUCAAGCAGGAGGUGUCAGGAAAGUUACCACAGGGAUAACUGGCCUGUGGCGGCCAAGUGUUCAUAGCUACGUCGCUUUUUGAUCCUUCAAUGUCAGCUCUUCCUUUCAUUGUGAAGCAGAAUUCACCAAGCGUUGGAUUGGUCACCCACUAAUAGGGAACGUGAGGUGGGUUUAGACUGUCGUGAGACAGGUUAGUUUUACUCUAUUGAUGAUGUGUUGUUCCAAUAGUAAUCCUUCUCAGUACAAGAGGAACCGCAGGUUUAGACAUUUGGUGUAUGUGCUUGGCUGAGGAGCCAAUGAGGCAAAGCUACCAUCUGUGGGAUUAUGACUGAGCGCCUCUAAUUCAAAAUCCCCCCUAAACUGUAACGAUACUGCUGCGCUGUCGAGCCUCGUUGGCCUAGGAUAGCCGGCUUACGGGCUGGUGCAUAGAGCCGCUCACCUCGGGACUCGAGUGUGGACAGAAGGGGUCCAACUCUCCCCCAUAGUGUACUGC
rnacentral:rRNA from 1 species